AGAGUUUGAUUCUGGCUCAGAACAAACGCUGGCGGCGUGCCUAAUACAUGCAAGUCGAACGGGGAAAGUUCUUCGGAAUGAGUACUAGUGGCGCACGGGUGAGGAACACGUAGAUAAUCUGCCCUUAGGCGGGGAAUAACUGGUCGAAAGAUCAGCUAAUACCGCAUAAGACCACACUCUCUGCGGAGAGAGAGGUUAAAGGCUUCGGCCACCUAAGGAUGAGUCUGCGUCCGAUUAGCUUGUUGGUGAGGUAAAAGCUCACCAAGGCUCCGAUCGGUAACUGGUCUGAGAGGAUGACCAGUCACACUGGGACUGAGACACGGCCCAGACUCCUACGGGAGGCAGCAGUAGGGAAUAUUGCACAAUGGAGGAAACUCUGAUGCAGCGACGCCGCGUGAGUGAUGAAGGCCCUCGGGUUGUAAAGCUCUGUUCUUAGGGAAUAAAAAAAUGAAGGUACCUAAGAAGAAAGGACCGGCUAACUUCGUGCCAGCAGCCGCGGUAAGACGAGGGGUCCAAGCGUUGUUCGGAAUCAUUGGGCGUAAAGCGGGUGUAGGCGGCCUUGCAAGUCAGAAGUGAAAGCCCUGGGCUCAACCCAGGAAGUGCUUUUGAAACUGCAAGGCUUGAGUGUGGGAGAGGAUAGUGGAAUUCCAGGUGUAGUGGUGAAAUACGUAGAGAUCUGGAGGAACACCGGUGGCGAAGGCGGCUAUCUGGCCCAACACUGACGCUCAGACCCGAAAGCGUGGGGAUCAAACAGGAUUAGAUACCCUGGUAGUCCACGCCGUAAACGAUGGAUACUUGGUGUUGGUGGUAUUGACCCCAUCAGUGCCGUAGUUAACGCGAUAAGUAUCCCGCCUGGGAAGUACGGCCGCAAGGUUAAAACUCAAAGAAAUUGACGGGGGCCCGCACAAGCGGUGGAGCAUGUGGUUUAAUUCGAUGCAACGCGAAGAACCUUACCUGGCCUUGAAAUGUAGUGGAAGGUCUCCAGAGAUGGAACCGUCUUCGGACUGCUACACAGGUGCUGCAUGGCUGUCGUCAGCUCGUGUCGUGAGAU
rnacentral:rRNA from 1 species